GAAAAAGAGGAGUGGCGAACGGGUGAGUAACACGUGGGUAACCUGCCCAUCAGAAGGGGAUAACACUUGGAAACAGGUGCUAAUACCGUAUAACGAUCGAAACCGCAUGGUUUUGAUUUGAAAGGCGCUUUCGGGUGUCGCUGAUGGAUGGACCCGCGGUGCAUUAGCUAGUUGGUGAGGUAACGGCUCACCAAGGCCACGAUGCAUAGCCGACCUGAGAGGGUGAUCGGCCACAUUGGGACUGAGACACGGCCCAAACUCCUACGGGAGGCAGCAGUAGGGAAUCUUCGGCAAUGGACGAAAGUCUGACCGAGCAACGCCGCGUGAGUGAAGAAGGUUUUCGGAUCGUAAAACUCUGUUGUUAGAGAAGAACAAGGAUGAGAGUAACUGUUCAUCCCUUGACGGUAUCUAACCAGAAAGCCACGGCUAACUACGUGCCAGCAGCCGCGGUAAUACGUAGGUGGCAAGCGUUGUCCGGAUUUAUUGGGCGUAAAGCGAGCGCAGGCGGUUUCUUAAGUCUGAUGUGAAAGCCCCCGGCUCAACCGGGGAGGGUCAUUGGAAACUGGGAGACUUGAGUGCAGAAGAGGAGAGUGGAAUUCCAUGUGUAGCGGUGAAAUGCGUAGAUAUAUGGAGGAACACCAGUGGCGAAGGCGGCUCUCUGGUCUGUAACUGA
rnacentral:rRNA from 1 species